CCUACGGGUGGCAGCAGUGAGGAAUAUUGGUCAAUGGGCGCAAGCCUGAACCAGCCAAGUCGCGUGAGGGAAGACGGCCCUACGGGUUGUAAACCUCUUUUGCCGGGGAGCAAGCCUGAGCACGUGUGCCCAGGCGGAGAGUACCCGGAGAAAAAGCAUCGGCUAACUCCGUGCCAGCAGCCGCGGUAAUACGGAGGAUGCGAGCGUUAUCCGGAUUUAUUGGGUGUAAAGGUAGCGUAGACGGUUAUGUAAGUCUGGAGUGAAAGCCCGGGGCCCAACCCCGGGACUGCUUUGGAAACUGUGUAACUGGAGUACAGGAGGGGCAGGCGGAAUUCCUGGUGUAGCGGUGAAAUGCGUAGAUAUCAGGAGGAACACCGGCGGCGAAGGCGGCCUGCUGGACUGAAACUGACGUUGAGGCUCGAAAGCGUGGGGAGCAAACAGGAUUAGAUACCCUGGUAGUC
rnacentral:rRNA from 1 species